GUACACUGAAAUAAAUCAAUGAGACUAUUUUAUUGGAUAUUUCAUAUAAGAUCGACUCCGUGCUGAACUUGUAUGUUUUAUAUGUGUAACUGUUCAGGUUCACCUGCGAUCAAAUAAAAAUAACAAAAAGUAGAGCCAUUUUGGAUCAUAUGCGUAUACUAUAUGUUCAGCACUAGCUUUGCAUAUAACUUUGAUAGAUCCACCUCUGUGGUGCUUACUAUAUGCAUGUUCGUCAUAUCGAUAGUAUAUGAUUUCAGCACUACAGCACUGGAAGUAAAUUUACAAAAUGGUGAAAAAACAAAAGUUCCGAACUUGACAUUUCUGUGCUUUGACUUUAUCAUGCUUGCCAUCUAAAGAUGAUACUGUUUGCUACUAUAAAUGAUUCUCUUGAGCGGCUUUUACAUUGAGAGAAGGUGAAAAUCAUAAGUUCCGGAUUAAGGCCUUCUUGAUUUGAAUCUGCAUAAAGAUGAUGGAUUGCUACGCAUGAAAACGGUAUCAUGGAAAAAUCGUCCAGGAAUUUAGCAUUUAGAUUUCAUUCUGGACCCAACUACAACAUAAUGAAGUGACCAAUGCGAGCUGUCAAUGAUCAAAUAUUAUAUAUUUAUUACGAAAUAUGCGUACAAAAUUUAUAAAAAUAAAAUUUGAAUAAACAUAUUUUUGAAGAAUCAA